GGGUGAGUCACUGUUUAUCGUUCUUGUUUUCUUUUGUUUGCUCUGAAAAUUCUUUGUUGAAUUUCAUUCUUGUAGUAGUUUAGGGGAAAAUUUUAUUUUAGGGUUUUUCUUUUCUUGUUGAAUUAAACCCUAAUUCUCUCCCCCUUCUUAAUUAUAUCUCAUUUCAUUCUAAAAAAAUUCAAUGUAGGUUGGUGGCAAUUUAUCCUCUUUGGAACGACACAUUGAAGACCCUAUUUCAUGGAACGAACUGAUUUCAAACUUGCAACUUGUCAUCAACGUUGUUGCACAUGGUCAUAACUAUUUCCUAUUAACGAGUUUCCGAUGACAACAAGUUCUACAAUGAUUCUGGUGAUCUUAUCAUACACAAGUUUGGAAAAAAAAGGGUCAAAAUUCAACAUUAUAGAGGGAGAAUAUUUGUUUUCAUUCGGGAGUUUUAUACGGAGGAUGGCAUGAAACUAUCUUCUUCUAAAGGUAUUUAUUCUGCUUUUCUUUGGAUACUAAUUUACUAAUUUUCAAUUAUACCCAUUCUUCUAAAGGUACAAAUAUAGAAAUGUGAAAUAUUUUACACUGAUAAAUUAGAAGGAUUAUAUUAAGCCCUGAUAACUUUGAAUGAAAAAUAUGAUAAUUCAUGAUUUUCAUAACUAUGGAAAAAGAGUUGGAAUUUUAUCUAAAAUGUGGCUUAGUUUUAUUCAUAUGAAGCUAGUAUGAUAUAAAUGACUAUUGAUGGUUUAAAUAAUAUGAAUAUUUAUUCUUGAAAUGUAUGAAAUGAUGACCCUUACUGGAAUGAAAAUAUAAACAUGAUAAAUCGAGAUGAUGCUAUUGAAUGCAAAAUUUAGUAUUUGUGCCAAUUUGGUUGUACUGUAUUGUGCCUCAAUGAUUGUUGAUUGAAAAAUAUGAUAUUUGAACUUAUACGGUUCUAAAUUCGAUAAAAUGGAAUGAUGGUGGUAUUGUUCCUGAAUAAUAUUAGAUGCAAAAUUAGAUGGUUGGAGGUAUUGUGUCUUAAAAUGAUAAUCGUAUGAAAUCAAAUUGACAAUAUAAUGUCUUAAUAUUGUGGCUCAUAUGAAGGUAAAUUGAUGGUUUAUGUCUUAAAAUGGUAGUUGAUUUCAAAUUUAAUAGAUUAUAUCGUGUCGGCUCAUAAAAUUGAAUUGAUGGUAUUGUGUCAUGAAAUGUCAGUUGAUAUGUAAUUGUGCCUGAAUAAUAUUAGAUGCAAAAUUAGAUGGUUGGAGGUAUUGUGUCUUAAAAUGAUAUUCGUAUGGAAUCAAAUUGACAAUAUCGUGUCUUAAAAUUGUGGCUCAUAUGAACGUAAGUUGAUGGUUUAUGUCUCAAAAUGGUUGUUGAUUUCAAAUUGAAUGGAUUAUAUCGUGUCGGCUCAUAAAAUUGAAUUGAUGGUAUUGUGUCAUGAAAUGUGAGUUGAUAUGUAAUUGAAUUUACGGUAUCAUGUUGACUCGAAUGAAAUUGAAUUGACGGUAUCAUGUUGGCUCGGAUGAAAUUGAAUUGUCAGUAACAUGUUGGCUCGGAUAAAAUUUAAUUGACGGUCUCAUGUUGUCUCGGAUGAAAUUAAAUUGACGAUAUUGUUUUUUAAAAUAGUGACUGAUAUGUAAUUGAAUGGAAGGUAUCGUGUUGGCUCGUACGAAAUUGAAUUGACAAUAUUGAUUCUCGAAAUGGUGGCUGUAUGUAAUUGAUUUGACGGUAUCGUGUCGGCUCGUAUUAAAUUGAAUUGACGGUACCUUGUUGGCAAAGAUGAAAUUGAAUUGACUGUAUCGUGUCGGCUCCCAUGAAAUUGAAUUGACGCUAUCAUGUUGGCUCAGAUGAAAUUGACGGUGUCAUGUUUUAAAACGAUGGCUCAUAUGAAAUGGAAUUGACGGUUAAAAAAGGGAGAUGAAAUUUGAGUAAGAGAAAUGAAAGUCUCUUUUACUUGGAUAUGCUAUAAAUCUGCAGUCCUCUUAAGGUAUGCUCUACAACUAUUAUGAAUAGAAUUUACUACAAGAUUAUCUUAUCAUUAGUAUGAAAUUUUGAUGCAAAAAAUUAAUUGGAUGGAAAAUGAAAAAUAGGACCCAAGUUUAUCUUAUAAUUUGAAAUUUCAUAUUUGAGCUUAUAUGAUUAAAUUGAGAUGAUGAUAUAGAAUGCAAAAUUUAUUCAUAAGCUUGCUGGAUUAGAUUGUAUUGUGCCUCAAUAAUCCUUGGUUGGAAAAUGUUAUUUGAACCAAUACGGUUCUAAAUUUGAUAAAAUGGUAGUAUGAUUGUAUUGUGCCUAAAUAAUAAUCGAUGCGAAAUUUGAUGGUUAGAUUUACAAAUUGAUUUGAUAGUAUCAUGUCUUGAAAUUAUUGUUAGUUGGUAAUUGAAUAUACGAUAUCAUGUCUUAAAAUGAUAUUCGUAUCGAAUUGACGGCAUCGUGUUUUAAAAUGGUCGCUCGUAUGAAAUUGAAUUGACAUUUGACAAUAUUUUUUCUCGAAAUGGUUGCUAUGAAAUUGAUUUGAUGGUAUCGUGUCGGCUCGUAUGAAAUUGAAUUGACGGUAUCUCGUCGGCUCGUAUGAAAUUGAAUUGACGGUAUCGUGUUGGCUCGGAUGAAAUUGAAUUGACGGUAUCAUGUUGUCUCGGAUGAAAUUGAAUUGACGGUAUCAUGGUGGCUCGGCUGAAAUUGAAUUGACGGUAUUGUUUCUUGUAAUGGUGGCUAAUAUGUAAUUGAAUGGAAGAUAUCGUGUUGGGUCGUAUGAAAUUCAAUUCACGGUAUCGUGUCGGCUCGUGUGAAAUUGAAUUGACGGUGUCAUGUUUUAAAACGAUGGCUCCUAUGAAAUGGAAUUGACGGUUAAAAAAGGGAGAUGAAGGUUGAGUAACAGAAAUGAAAGUCUCCUUUACUUGGAUAUGCUAUAAAUCUGCUGUCCUUUUAAGUUGAUAUGUAAUUGAAUUGACGGUAUCAUGUUGGCUCGGAUGAAAUCGAAUUGACGGUAAAAUGUUGGCUCGGAUGAAAUUGAAUUGAUGGUAUCAUGUUGUCUCGGAUGAAAUUGAAUUGACGGUAUUGUUUCGUGUAAUGAUGGCUGAUAUGUAAUUGAAUGGAAGAUAUCGUGUUGGCUCGUAUGAAAUUCAAUUGACGGUGUCGUGUUAGCUCGUAUGAAAUUGAAUUGACGGUAUCAUGUUGGCUCGGAUGAAAUUGAAUUGACGUCAUCAUGUUGUCUCGGAUGAAAUUGAAUUGACGGUAUCAUGUUGGCUGAGAUGAAAUUGAAUUGACGGUAUUGUUUCUUGUAUUGGUGGCUGAUGUGUAAUUGAAUGGAAGAUAUCCUGUUGGCUCGUAUGAAAUUCAAUUGACGGUAUCGUGUGAAAUUGAAUUGACGGUAUCGUGUGAAAUUGAAUUGACGGUAUCAUGUUUUAAAACGAUGGCUCAUAUGAAAUGGAAUAGACGGUUAAAAAAGGGAGAUGAAAUUUGAGUAAGAGAAAUGAAAGUCUCUUUUACUUGGAUAUGCUAUAAAUCUGCAGUCCUCUUAAGGUAUGCUCUGCAACUAUUAUGAAUUUAAUUUACUACAAGAUUAUCUUAUCAUCAGUAUGAAAUUUUGAUGCAAAAAAUUAAUUGGAUGGAAAAUGAAAAAUAGGACUCAAGUUUAUCUUAUAAUUUGAAAUUUCAUAUUUGAGCUUAUAUGAUUAAAUUGAGAUGAUGAUAUAGAAUGCAAAAUUUAUUCAUAAGUUUGCCGGAUUAGAUUGUAUUGUGCCU